UGGGACACCAGUGUAUUGUUUCCACUGCAACUGUGUCAUAAAAACACAGAAAAAUGUCCAGUGAAUGAAAUAUGUUUAUGAUUAAGGAAUUUUAAACUGGCAUACAGGGGAAAAAGGAACCAUUUCAGAGCUGGACUCCAAGCAGAAAAAUAUUCAGAUUUUAUUCAGGUUAACAAAUGAGUUUUGCAGUAAAGUUGCUGGUGAUCUGAUGGUAAUCCAUCAUAACAUUUCAUGAAAUACAAACCAUUCAGUCCCUUUCAAGUUCAUCAGCCAUCGGGAAACCUUGAGAGCCAUUGGUUUUUAUUUGGUUUUACUGAAUUUAAUUUGGUCUUAUUUGAUUCAUUUUAAUCUCUUACCGCUGAGUACUGUUGUCACUUUACAUGUAUGUACUGUGCUGUUUGUUCGUCUAGUGUCAUACAUGUGAUUCACUGCGAACAAAAUUUACCUCAGGGUACAAAUAGAGUAACCUUUGACCUUUG